rnacentral:rRNA from 1 species
UACGAAGGGGGCUAGCGUUGCUCGGAAUUACUGGGCGUAAAGGGCGCGUAGGCGGAUGUUUAAGUCGGGGGUGAAAGCCCGGGGCUCAACCUCGGAAUUGCCUUCGAUACUGGACAUCUUGAGUUCGGGAGAGGUGAGUGGAAUGCCGAGUGUAGAGGUGAAAUUCGUAGAUAUUCGGCGGAACACCCGUGGCGAAGGCGGCUCUCUGGGACGGUACUGACGCUGAGACGCGAAAGCGUGGGGAGCGAACAGG